rnacentral:rRNA from 1 species
GACGUAGGGCGCGAGCGUUGUCCGGAUUUAUUGGGCGUAAAGAGCUCGUAGGCGGCUUGUCGCGUCGUCCGUGAAAACCUGGGGCUCAACCCCAGGCUUGCGGUCGAUACGGGCAGGCUGGAGUUCGGUAGGGGAGACUGGAAUUCCUGGUGUAGCGGUGAAAUGCGCAGAUAUCAGGAGGAACACCGAUGGCGAAGGCAGGUCUCUGGGCAUUAACUGACGCUGAGGAGCGAAAGCAUGGGGAGCGAACAGG